CCUACGGGAGGCAGCAGUGGGGAAUAUUGCACAAUGGACGGAAGUCUGAUGCAGCAACGCCGCGUGGAGGAAGACACAUUUCGGUGCGUAAACUCCUUUUAUAGGUCAAGAUAAUGACGGUAGCCUAUGAAUAAGCGUCGGCUAACUCCGUGCCAGCAGCCGCGGUAAUA
rnacentral:rRNA from 1 species